UUAUGUUUAUCAGUGUAUUCCUACAGACAUUACUAUAUUUUAAUUCUUUCAAUAGGAACCCUCCAAUCCUCUUCAACUCCCAACCAGAAGCCCUAAUAUGUACAAAUUGCUCACUGUGAAAAACAAAAUUUUGAUUUGUUUAUGAAGUGUGCACACUGUGAUGUACCCUUCUAAAUUGGAAGUAUACACACACAUGCAUUGUCUUAGGAUUCACUGGACAAGAAGAUAUGUAAGAUAUAAUAUUGUUUGAGUGUCGCAGAAGAUACAGCAGACGUGGACCAGCAGUCGACGACGGUGGGACCGAGCCAGCCACCUCCGUCGUCUACUUUAAUGAACAGUAACAAUCAGAAACAUCCUCUUCCGACUCAGAAAUCGAAGCGCUGCCUGCCAUAGAAAAUAUUGGAGACGCCGUAGGAAUAUCGGAAGGAGAAGAUAACCCAGAGGCCUCAAUGACGGCAAUGGCAGGCAGCAUCGAACGAUUGUGAAGAGACGAUGCAGCAAAAGACUAAAGCACUAAAAGCAGAAGAUUGACUCGAAGAUUGACUCCUCCCUACCCUGAUUGACUCCCCUUACCCUGAUUGACCCCCCUACCCUGAUUGACUCCCCCCUACCCUGAUUGACAAAUCAUUACCCGGACUCGACACCUACACAUGGCCAACGAUGACAGCUGUCAAC